rnacentral:rRNA from 1 species
AACGAACGCUGGCGGCAUGCCUAACACAUGCAAGUCGAACGAGACCUUCGGGUCUAGUGGCGCACGGGUGCGUAACGCGUGGGAAUCUGCCCUCUGGUACGGAAUAACUCAGGGAAACUCGAGCUAAUACCGUAUAAUGACUUCGGUCCAAAGAUUUAUCGCCUGAGGAUGAGCCCGCGUCGGAUUAGCUAGUUGGUGAGGUAAAGGCUCACCAAGGCGACGAUCCGUAGCUGGCCUGAGAGGAUGAUCAGCCACACUGGGACUGAGACACGGCCCAGACUCCUACGGGAGGCAGCAGUGGGGAAUAUUGGACAAUGGGCGAAAGCCUGAUCCAGCAAUGCCGCGUGAGUGAUGAAGGCCUUAGGGUUGUAAAGUUCUUUUACCCGGGAUGAUAAUGACAGUACCGGGAGAAUAAGCCCCGGCUAACUCCGUGCCAGCAGCCGCCGUAAGAC